rnacentral:tRNA from 1 species
GGCUGCGGUAGUCGGCGGCCACGGUCUGGCUCUCGGAAGGGGCCGACAAGCGGGGGGCCUGCGUGUCGACGAUGGCGGCGUCGCGCAGCAG